AUGGAGUGGAGGAACGCGGCUUCCAUCUCUGCAGAGGCACUUCUCCUGAGCAAGCACAUCGCGUACUCCAUCAUCGAUGCAUCGCAGGGCAGCGUGAUUCUGCCACUGUCAACGCCUGCGAAGCCGAACUCCUCUUGGGACAUCCUGAAGAGCUCGCCGAAGACUGUCGUGCCAAGGAACGCAAGCGGCACCUCGAACCUCACACCGUCGGUGGUGUACACGAUGAAGUGUCCCUUGCCGGCCACCGAUGAGCAUGAUGUGCCACACGGCCCUCCGGUUUCUUCCGCUGACGUUGAUGACGACCAGGCAAACUGCUCAAGACAGAAGACAUCAUCAGCGUCUACGCCUGCUGUUCUUCAGCAGCUACAAACAGCAAAUCUGUUUGCUGGCUCCAACGGGCAGCGUGAUCUCGCCAUGGCUCGCGAAGCCAAACUCCUCCCGAGACAUCCUCAGGAGCUCGCCAAUGACCGUCGUGCCGAGGUACAGCAGCGGGACCUCGAAGCGCCUCCCGUCGGCCGUGUACAUGACGCAGUGGCCCUUGGCCGGUGCAGAGGUGCAGCAUCCUUGGUCUUCCUUGGCCGUCACGGUGAUGCUGUUGAGCUGGGCCGUUGGCUGGAUUUAUAG
rnacentral:rRNA from 1 species